CGGGGGGGGCAAGCGUUGUUCGGAAUUACUGGGCGUAAAGGGCUCGUAGGCGGCCAACUAAGUCAGACGUGAAAUCCCUCGGCUUAACCGGGGAACUGCGUCUGAUACUGGAUGGCUUGAGAUUGGGAGAGGGAUGCGGAAUUCCAGGUGUAGCGGUGAAAUGCGUAGAUAUCUGGAGGAACACCGGUGGCGAAGGCGGCAUCCUGGACCAAUACUGACGCUGAGGAGCGAAAGCCAGGGGAGCAAACGGGAUUAGAUACCCCGGUAGUCCUGGCCCUAAACGAUGAAUGCUUGGUGUGGCGGGUAUCGAUCCCUGCCGUGCCGAAGCUAACGCAUUAAGCAUUCCGCCUGGGGAGUACGGUCGCAAGGCUG
rnacentral:rRNA from 1 species